CAGAGGUCACAGAAUCACUUGCGCAAGACUCCUAAAUACACACUGAAACUCUCUUUGCUUUUCUCUUUCUCUCUGUCGCUGUCAGCUGAGGGCCGGCGAUGGUCUCUGGCCUCCCUGCCCUCGUCUGGCUAUGGAACCAAUCCACCGAGCUCCACUGUCUCGUCCUCUUCAUCAUCCCAGGAGCGUCUUCAUCAGCUUCCCUACCAGCCAACACAAGAUGAACUGCACUUCCUCUUCAAACACUUCCGCAGCACAGACAGCAUGACAGAUGAGGAUGGACGCCCCUCGCCUGUCAUACGACCUCGGUCCCGCAGCCUCAGCCCUGGGCGUUCAAGUGUCUCCUUCGAUAAUGAGAUAGUCAUGAUGAACCACGUUUACAGAGAGCGUUUUCCAAAGGCCACAGCCCAGAUGGAGGAACGCUUGUUAGAGAUAGUCACCCACUAUUCUCCAGACAGCUCCCUCCCGCUGCCUGACGGGGUACUGGGCUUCAUCCAGCACCAGUUGGUGGAGCUGGUCAGAGACUGUCUGGAUAAGUCUCAGAAAGGUCUGGUUACUUCCCGCUACUUUGCUGAGCUGCAGGAAAAGCUGGAAAAGCUGUUUCAUGAGGCCUACGAGCGCUCUGAAAGCGAGGAGGUAACUGUCAUCACCCAGCUGGUUAGGAAGAUCCUCAUCAUAAUCUCUCGGCCGGCUCGCCUCCUUGAAUGUCUGGAGUUUGACCCGGAAGAGUUUUAUCACCUACUUGAAGCAGCAGAGGGUCAUGCCAAAGUCGGCCAGGGAAUUAAGACGGACAUCCCGCGCUACAUCAUCAGCCAGCUCGGCCUGACGCGGGACCUGUUGGAAGAUAUGGUACAGCUGGAACAGUAUGAUACCAGUCCUACAGUUUCGGCUCCACAGACGCUGACUCCAACUCGAAGAAAACCACUGGAAAGCGAUUUUGAGACCAUCAAACUUAUUAGUAACGGAGCUUAUGGGGCCGUGUAUCUGGUCCGUCACAAGGAGACUCGUCAGCGAUUUGCCAUGAAAAAGAUAAAUCGUCAGAACCUGGUGCUAAGGAAUCAGAUUCAGCAGGCAUUCGUGGAGCGGGACAUCCUAACCUUUGCUGAGAACCCUUUUGUUGUCUCCAUGUUCUGCUCUUUUGAGACACGGCGUCAUCUUUGCAUGGUCAUGGAGUAUGUAGAAGGUAAACAAAAGCUUUUUUUCUCACAGAUUACACAUACAUAUAUAAUCUUUUUUUGUCUUUUGCCACUUGACAGUUUGCUGAUAACCUCCAUGGGUCACAUCAAGCUGACAGAUUUUGGCCUGUCUAAAAUUGGACUGAUGAACAUGACCACCAACCUGUACGAAGGUCACAUUGAGAAAGACACAAGAGAAUUUGUUGACAAACAGGUAUGUGGCACUCCAGAGUACAUUGCUCCAGAGGUGAUCCUUAGGCAGGGCUAUGGGAAGCCAGUGGACUGGUGGGCAAUGGGGGUCAUUCUUUAUGAGUUUCUGGUUGGCUGUGUUCCAUUUUUUGGAGACACCCCUGAAGAGCUUUUUGGACAAGUUGUUAGUGAUGAAAUAAUUUGGCCAGAAGGAGACGAUGCCCUACCUACUGAUGCACAGGACCUGAUUACUCGUCUGCUGAGGCAGAACCCUUUAGACCGAAUUGGAACAGGUGGAGCCUCAGAGGUGAAGCAGCAUCCUUUCUUCCUGGGUUUAGACUGGAAUGGACUUCUCCGACAGAAAGCAGAGUUCAUCCCUCAGCUGGAGGCGGAGGAUGACACCAGCUAUUUUGACACUCGGUCAGAACGCUACCAUCAUUUGGCAUCUGAUGAGGACGAAGAAACCAAUGAUGAAGAGUCUUCCCUAGAAAUUAGACAGUUUGCUUCCUGUAACAAAAACCAUACAUGUGUUUCAGAUGACUCUCCCAGUGGCCUCCAGCCCAGUCCCAUUUCGCCACGUUCACUUUCUUCCAACCCCUCAUCUCGUGACUCGUCCCCUAACCGAGAUCUGUUCUUCAGCCCCGGCAGCCUCAGGCCACCAAUCGUCAUCCACACCUCAGGGAAGAAGUACGGCUUCACCCUGCAGGCCAUCCGGGUCUACAUGGGUGACAGUGAUGUGUACACUGUGCAUCAUAUGGUGUCGAGUGUGGAGGAGGGCAGCCCAGCUCACCAGGCAGGUCUCUGCACUGGAGACCUCAUCACCCACGUGAACGGAGAGUCUGUCCAAGGCCUGGUCCACCCAGAGAUGAUAGAACUGCUACUGAAGAGUGGCAGCAAGGUGGCUCUGCAGACCAUAGCACUGGAGAACACGUCAAUCAAAGUUGGCCCAGCUCGAAAAACCAAACACAAAGGCAAGAUGGCACGUCGCAGCAAGAAGAGCAAGAGGAGAGAUAAUUACGACAGUAAGACGACCUUGAUAAUGGCAGCAGCGUGUAUAAUUUGA
ensembl:lncRNA